rnacentral:lncRNA from 1 species
GUUGUCGGGUCUGGUCACCCUUCAUUUAUUUCAUUCUAGGGGUCAUUUCGGUCAGGCUAUUUAAAUAAUUUUUUAAUACCGAAACUGAUAUUGAUUAUUUACACAAAUUGCUGGAAAUUGAUCUUAAAAAUUAUGAUCGAUUAUGUUUAUCAGGUUAAUGUUGAAUGGCCUAAGUUUAAAUAUAAAAAAAUUAAUUUAAUUGGGCUGCAUGGGUGCGUGCAUGUCCAAUGGUACGGCUUGAAUCGGUUUUUUAAAAAUUUAAAUUAAAACCUAGCUGAAUUUUCUCAGUUCAAGCAUUUUUCACACUGACACCGUACUGCACAAAAAACUUUGAUUCUUAAUUUAAUUCUAAUUAAUGAUGUUACAAUCUUUUGAUACACUAUUUUUUCUGGUACAUUUUAGGAUUUGUAUUCCACGCUAUUGGAUAUAGCUUUGCUUUUGUAUCAUGACCAUGAAUACAAAGAAACAUAUAAUGCAUGUGAUCGAUUGAUUCUAAGUUGAGAAACAUUUGAAAGAUUUAAAAGAUUUAUCUUUUUUCUUGAAGAGUUGCUUUAAAUAAUAGCAAUUCAAGAGUUGAUCUUAGAGCCAGAGUUGCGCGGUCCUUUUUUUUGUGUGUGCUGAAAACGGGUUUUCAUACAAUACGUGUACGAAUAUACUCAAUAAAAUCAAAAAAUACUAACUUGCGGAGUGCCAAUGGCAGCUCCUCCUUUUCCGACCAAAGGGUAUAUCCUAAAUGAUGAGCUGC